CCUACGGGUGGCAGCAGUAGGGAAUCUUCCACAAUGGGCGCAAGCCUGAUGGAGCAACGCCGCGUGGAUGAAGAAGGUCUUCGGAUCGUAAAGCCCUGUUGUUAGAGAGGAAAGUGCGUGCGAGUAACUGUUCACGUUUCGACGGUAUCUAACCAGAAAGCCACGGCUAACUACGUGCCAGCAGCCGCGGUAAUACGGAGGUGGCAAGCGUUAUCCGGAUUUAUUGGGCGUAAAGGGAACGCAGGCGGUCUUUUAAGUCGGAUGUGAAAGCCUUCGGCUUAACCGGAGUAGUGCAUUGGAAACUGGGAGACUUGAGUGCAGUAGAGGGGAGUGGAACUCCAUGUGUAGCGGUGAAAUGCGUAGAGAUAUGGAAGAACACCAGAGGCGAAGGCGGCUCUCUGGGCUGUAACUGACGCUGAGGUGCGAAAGCGUGGGUAGCAAACAGGAUUAGAUACCCGAGUAGUC
rnacentral:rRNA from 1 species